UACGGAAGGCAGCAGUGGGGAAUAUUGCACAAUGGGCGCAAGCCUGAUGCAGCCAUGCCGCGUGUAUGAAGAAGGCCUUCGGGUUGUAAAGUACUUUCAGUCGUGAGGAAGGUGUUAAGGUUAAUAACCUUAGCAAUUGACGUUAGCGACAGAAGAAGCACCGGCUAACUCCGUGCCAGCAGCCGCGGUAAUACGGAGGGUGCGAGCGUUAAUCGGAAUUACUGGGCGUAAAGGGCACGCAGGCGGUUAAUUAAGUUGGAUGUGAAAUCCCCGGGCUUAACCUGGGAAUGGCAUUCAAGACUGGUUAGCUAGAGUCUUGUAGAGGGGGUAGAAUUCCAUGUGUAGCGGUGAAAUGCGUAGAGAUGUGGAGGAAAUACCGGUGGCGAAGGCGGCCCCUGGACAAAAGGACUGACGCUCAUGUGCGAAAAGCGUGGGGGAGCAAAAACAGGGAUUUAGAUACC
rnacentral:rRNA from 1 species